CUUAGUACGGCGAGUGAAGCGGCAAAAGCUCAAAUUUGAAAUCUGGUACCUUCGGUGCCCGAGUUGUAAUUUGGAGAGGGCAACUUUGGGGCCGUUCCUUGUCUAUGUUCCUUGGAACAGGACGUCAUAGAGGGUGAGAAUCCCGUGUGGCGAGGAGUGCGGUUCUUUGUAAAGUGCCUUCGAAGAGUCGAGUUGUUUGGGAAUGCAGCUCUAAGUGGGUGGUAAAUUCCAUCUAAAGCUAAAUAUUGGCGAGAGACCGAUAGCGAACAAGUACAGUGAUGGAAAGAUGAAAAGAACUUUGAAAAGAGAGUGAAAAAGUACGUGAAAUUGUUGAAAGGGAAGGGCAUUUGAUCAGACAUGGUGUUUUGUGCCCUCUGCUCCUUGUGGGUAGGGGAAUCUCGCAUUUCACUGGGCCAGCAUCAGUUUUGGUGGCAGGAUAAAUCCAUAGGAAUGUAGCUUGCCUCGGUAAGUAUUAUAGCCUGUGGGAAUACUGCCAGCUGGGACUGAGGACUGCGACGUAAGUCAAGGAUGCUGGCAUAAUGGUUAUAUGCCGCCCGUCUUGACC
rnacentral:rRNA from 1 species